rnacentral:sRNA from 1 species
AACUUAAAACUUUAAUUUUUUUUAAAAAAAUUUUGAUUCUUAUAUUAGAAAUUUAAACAUUAUAAAUAUUUAAACUUUAUACUACGGGUGAAAUUUUAGAAUUGACUGUUUAGGUUGAUAAGAAUUUACGAUAGAACUAGGAGUUAAAUCCUAGAAUGACAAUUAAAAUAUAAUUAUACAAUUAAAUACUACCACGAGUGAAAUCCUAGAAUUGACGAGUUUGAAUCGAUAUUAAUAUGGGAUAGUGUACUACGGGUGAUAUUUUAGAAUUGACUGGUUUGGGUUGAUAAUAAUUUGCGAUAGAAUUAGGAGUGAAAUCCUAGAAUGACAAUUAAAAUAUAAUUAUACAACUAAAUACUAUCACGGGUGAAAUCCUAGAAUUGACGGGCUUGAUUUGAUAUCAAUAUGGGAUGGUGUACUACGGGUGAUAUUUUAGAAUUGACUGGUUUGGGUUGAUAAUAAUUUGCGAUAGAAUUAGGAGUGAAAUCCUAGAAUGACAAUUAAAAUAUAAUUAUACAAUUAAAUACUACCACGGGUGAAAUCUUAGAAUUGACGGGUUUGAUUCGAUAUUAAUAUGGGAUGGUGUACUACGGGUGAAAUCCGAGAAACAACAAUCAAAAUACAAUUAUAAAAUAUUAAACAUUUAACAAAAUAAACAAAUACAACUUAAAACUUUAAAAUUUGAGUUAUAAAAUUUCUUCUCGCGGUGAAUUAUACAUUUAAAUCAAACAAUAGCAUAAAUUUAUUAAAUCAUCAUAAAAAAUAUUCAAUUAUUUUUUAUUUAAUAAAAAUAUAGGCCCGCGGGUUAAUAUCUAGUACUAUGCAUAUCCAAAAAAUUUUACAAAUUUAUGAAACAACAAAAAAACACAAACCCAAACCCAACGAUCAAAACAACAACAACCUUUGAUUUUUCUUUUAGCAAAUCUCAUGUGUAGCAAAGAUUAUUAUGCAAAUCAUGUCACAACCCAAAUUUCGUGAGACAUAACCAUGGAUAAAAUAUACAAAAUAGGAUAUUAGA